CCGUAUCCAAUCUGUCAACGACAAAAACACCAGAAGAAGAAAGCAGGAAGAUGAGUCAGUGGAGAAGGAGAGGAUUAAAGAAACCAGGACUUUCUGCACAACUUGCUGUUCUUUAACAAGGAGUAACAACAGAGGACAACUGCAAACAGAAGAUCGUCUCCUACAGGACACUGUGGAAGACGCAUAUUUUGGCAAAACCUUCUUGUUGUUAUUGUAUCCAUAUCUAAAAAUGUCAGUAGUUUAUUCACCUUAGAGUUGUAAAGAGUCUUGGUUGCAGAUCCCCGCUGUUAGAGAUUUUUUGGUAUUAUCAUUUUUGUUUUACUUUUGCUUGUUUGUUGUAUUACUUUAGUUCAUAUUCAGUCUAAUGUUAAUCAGCAGUUAAUCAACGUUCAGUCUAAUGUGAGUAGGUAAAUGACGUGAUGCGAAUACUUUUUGAUUGUUCUGUUGAAUAUCUGUGUUCCUGAGAACUGAUUGUUCCCUCCGAAGUUCGCUCUCAAGAGAAAGAGCUAGAUGACCUGUGUGUUAGAUGGAGCCUGCCGCCUGUUUUAUUGUUCAUCUUUUCUGACUUUGUUUUCCCAAAUAAAAGGCCUGCUCGAGCAGAGAGAGGCAGAACGCUCAGUGAACGGCUUGGGGGAGCAGUUUGCUGAGUCUUCUCCUUUUGCAAAAGCUUGGUCAUAAAAUUCAUAUACGUUAUCUGUGGUUCUUUUAAUGAAGGUUCGAAAGGAAAAAUACCUAUCAUUUUUUGGUGCCGAAAACCGGGAUCUCUCAUACCGAAAUGCGCAUUUAAGCUCCUUUAAUUUGCUACGUUCCAUCCAGCCCGCCCUGUUUUAUGGUGGGUAAAUUGGUGUUUGCCUCCGGCAGGAAUGUUUUCUUCUCCAUUCAGCUGAUUAUCAAAAAAAAAAA